UGAUCUAAGAUAUAUGAUAUGAUAUAUCUACAUCCUGAUUUCUCAUACAAUGUCCCUUAUCCAAGACAGUUAUGAUUAGAUGAAGGUUCUUAUAGCCAUCAACUUUAUCGUCGACAAAUCUGUUCCCUUUUAUUGCA